AGUGAACGCUGGCGGUAGGCCUAACACAUGCAAGUCGAACGGCAGCACAGGAGAGCUUGCUCUCUGGGUGGCGAGUGGCGGCCGGGUGAGGAAUACAUCGGAAUCUACUUUUUCGUGGGGGAUAACGUAGGGAAACUUACGCUAAUACCGCAUACGACCUACGGGUGAAAGCAGGGGAUCUUCGGACCUUGCGCGAUUGAAUGAGCCGAUGUCGGAUUAGCUAGUUGGCGGGGUAAAGGCCCACCAAGGCGACGAUCCGUAGCUGGUCUGAGAGUAUGAUCGGCCACACUGGAACUGAGACACGGUCCAGCCUCCUACGGGAGGAAGCAGUGGGGAAUAUUGGACAAUGGGCGCAAGCCUGAUCCAGCCAUACCGCGUGGGUGAAGAAGGCCUUCGGGUUGUAAAGCCCUUUUGUUGGGAAAGAAAUCCAGCUGGUUAAUACCCGGUUGGGAUGACGGUACCCAAAGAAUAAGCACCGGCUAACUUCGUGCCAGCCGCCGCGGUAA
rnacentral:rRNA from 1 species